rnacentral:rRNA from 1 species
UACGUAGGGGGCAAGCGUUAUCCGGAUUUACUGGGUGUAAAGGGGGCGCAGACGGCAGCGCAAGCCAGGAGUGAAAGCCCGGGGCCCAACCCCGGGACUGCUCUUGGAACCGCGCGGCUGGAGUGCAGGAGGGGCAGGCGGAAUUCCUGGUGUAGCGGUGAAAUGCGUAGAUAUCAGGAGGAACACCAGUGGCGAAGGCGGCUUACUGGACGGCAACUGACGCUGAGGCUCGAAAGCGUGGGGAGCAAACAGG